rnacentral:lncRNA from 1 species
AUGCCUGUUAGUUUGUCCAUCCCUCUCCUCUUUAGUCCCUAGAGUCAGAUGAACUCCUCUGCAGGUGCAAUGGUGUAACACUCUCUAGUACUGAAUUUUGAGCAGGAGAAAGAGAGCAAGAGUGACCAGCACUCUUGGAAACUCUGGUCUCCUGAGAAUUUGGUGUCUUCUCUGCAAAGGUUGCAAACCUGUUAACACACAGGCCGGAGAGAGAGAGAAGCCAGAAGCAUGAUCUGUUAAGCUUGAGUUUAAUAUUUGAUGCACAGAGAUCACUGAGUUUUUUGAUGAGAAUUAGAGGGGGAAGAAAUGGCCACAGAGAUCAAUUUCUAUCUCCAGGUGAGGAUUCAGGAGAUAAUUCUGCGAACAGAAAUUCCUGAGAACUGAGAUGGGGGAAAUCGCUGGUAUUAGAAGAGUGAAAAGGUGUAUCCAGCAGCUCCAGAGAGACAGCGACCAGGGAGAAGGGGCCAUGAUGACGGUGGUGGUUUUGUCAAAACGAAAAGGGGGAUAUGUAGGGGAAAGAAAGAGAGAUCAGACUGUUACUGUGUCUACAUAGAAAGGGAAGACAUAAGAGACUCCAUUUUGAAAAAGAACUGUACUUUAAACAAUUGCUUUGCUGAGAUGUUUUUAAUCUGUAGCUUUGCCCCAGCCACUUUUCCCCAACCACUUUGACCCAACCUGGAGCUCAAAAAACAUGUGUUGUAUGAAAUCAAGGUUUAAGGGAUGUAGGGCUGUGCAGGACGUGCCUUGUUAACAAAAAGUUUGCCAGCAAUAUACUUGGUAAAAGUCAUCGCCAUUCUCUAGUCUCAAUAAACCAGGGGCACAAUACACUAUGGAAAGCUGCAGGGAGCCCUGCCCUUGAAAGCUGAGUAUUGUCCAAGGUUUCUCCCCAUGUGAUAGUCUGAAAAGUGGCCUCGUGGGAUGAGAAAGACCUGACAGUCCCCCAGCCCGACACCCAUAAAGGGUCUGUGCUGAGGUGGACUAGUCAAAGCGGA